UUUUAACGGCUGCGGUAUUUUGACCGUGCUAAGGUAGCAUAAUCAAUUGUUUUUUAAUUGAAAACUAGUAUGAACGGUUUAAUUUACUUAAUUAGUUUGUAAUUUUUAAUAGUAAGUUAAAUAUAAAGUAAGAAUUCUUUAAUAAAUUAGGGGACGAUAAGACCCUAAAAGCUUUAUGAUCGGCAUUUAAUUGGUGAUAGCGGUGUUAUUAAUUCACUGGGGCAGUGAGUUUAGGUAUAUUUAAGUAUAAUUAAAAGCUCCUUUAAAUAAAGAUUUCAUGUAUAAGUUACUUUAGGGAUAACAGUGCAAUAUAUU
rnacentral:rRNA from 1 species